UAGCCACCAGCUCCCUGCCUGCAGCUGCAGAACACAUUAGGCUGGACCCUAGGGCAGAGCCAAGGUUUUGAGUGACAGCCGAAGUAAUGUAAAUAAACCGCUGUCCCCCUAAAUUGCCUUUUGUUGAGGAUAUUUUUCACAACAACAAAAGCCAAAGUAAAAGGUGGAACAAGUUAAAGCCAGGCAAGGGGAGGCCCUCUAGGGGAGCCAUAGAGGGGGCGGGAACUCCGGAAAUCUUGACCUUGCAUCUGAAGCGCUGCAAAGGGGAUAGUGCCAACUACGACCAGGGAGGGAGAUGGGGGUUGGGCCACACUGCCCUGCCCAGACAGUUUUCUCCAGAACCUCCUUCCGGCGGUCUAAAUCGCACUGAUGAGGAAGGAAAGGAGCGCACGGGUGCCGGGCCCCGGGAACCUAUUCGAUUUAGAAGAAACACUGAGGGUGGACUUGGCGGACCCGUGCUCACACCACCGGUGGGACUCCUUCCCACGCCCGCUCCGGAGCCCAGAAGUUUGCUGUGGAGUUUGUUUGUCGCGCCCGCGCACCUACAAGAAGAGCCAGCGCCGGCCCGCCCGCUCGCAGGCCCAGAGUGCUGCCCCGCGCGCCGUUCAUGCAGUUCCCUGCAGUUCCUUCGCCACCGCCGAGAGCUCGCGGCGACGGCGAGCCGCUACGGCGGGGCGAAAACCCGGCGGCAGCCACCGAGUCUCUGUAGCCGGGCCGGGAAAGCCGGGAGCGCCGCGCGACCCGCUCCGAAGCGUCCUUGAGUAACCAAGAAAACGAGGACGACGGUGUAAGCUUUGUAGGAAGAGCAGAUGUAGUAGUGCACGCCUGCACCAGGAUGGCCGAGUGGUUAAGGCGUUGGACUUAAGAUCCAAUGGACAUAUGUCUGCGUGGGUUCGAACCCCACUCCUGCCAUUUAAUUAUCUGGAGUCGCAGAAAAAUAUUUUUUCCGAAAAGCUCGGAACUCCGUGGGAAAUAGUAUCAGUCUAUUUAAACAGUGACACCUACUGGUGAACUGAGGUAAAUGUAUUUGUUUGAAUAAACCAGUUUUGUUUU